UACAGAGGUGGCAAGCGUUGUUCGGAAUUACUGGGCGUAAAGGGCGCGUAGGCGGUUCGUUAAGUCCUGUGUGAAAUCCCCCGGCUCAACUGGGGAACUGCACAGGAAACUAGCGGGCUUGAGUUCGGGAGAGGGAAGCGGAAUUCCGGGUGUAGCGGUGAAAUGCGUAGAUAUCAGGAGGAACACCGGUGGCGAAGGCGGCUAUCUGGACAGAGUCUGACGCUGAGGCGCGAAAGCUAGGGGAGCAAACAGG
rnacentral:rRNA from 1 species